AACGUAGGAGACAAACGUUAUCCGGAGUUACUGGGCGUAAAGGGCGUGUAGGUGGUUUAGUAAGUCUGGCGUGAAAUUUUUCGGCUUAACCGGGAAAGGUCGUCGGAUACUGCAAGACUAGAGGACGGUAGAGGCGUGCGGAAUUCCGGGUGUAGUGGUGAAAUGCGUAGAGAUCCGGAGGAACACCAGUGGCGAAGGCGACACGCUGGGCCGUACCUGACACUGAUGCGCGACAGCAUGGGGAGCAAACAGG
rnacentral:rRNA from 1 species